rnacentral:lncRNA from 1 species
AGAACGAGGCUGACAGUCAGCUAAACAACCCACUACAUUGUUCCCUCCCCACAUGGCCUCCUCCCUGCUCCCCGGCAGUCCCCACAUGCAGCAGCAGACUAGUGGGUAGAACUGCAGGGGUAUGGAGACAUCCCGAACUUCAGCAGCAGCAGUCCCAGCACCCCGCCCCCAACCUCAGGCAUGAAGAGCAAGACAAGAUCUCAUGUGUCCUGGGCUGUUCCUGAGUUCCUGAUAGUCUUGCCUCCACCAGACCCUCCCCUACCGCCCACUCAUUGCUAGAAUUAUAGGUGUAUGGACACUGUGGACACAUGUCCCUUGAAGUCUGGCCUCCACCAGUACAUUGCCUGGGUUAAAUUCCACACAUGUCUGGCCCUGAAGCCAGUACUGUGUGCUUUCUUCAGCUAAAGCAAGCCCCCCUCCAUCUCUUCUGUAGCUUCCUAGGUCCUGGGCUCAUCAAGCAAUUGAAAUCUUUCAAAAUGAUCGAUCAGGGCUGAUCCACUCGAGAUUUUACUUGUGGUUGAUGUUAUUUUUCAAGUCAACGACCAAUUACAGUAACAGCAUUGAUUAAACACCGUCUCUCUGCCCUGCAUGGAAAUGCCAUCUUUCCUGUGCUUUACCUCAGAAUGGACCGGGCUUGGUUGCACACGGCUUUGAGCCCAGCACGCUGAAGACAAACAGGUGGAACUCUGUGAGUCUAAGGCCAGCCUAGUCUACAAAGAGAGUUCCAGAACAGCCAGGAGUACAUAAUGAAACCCUGUGUCAAAACACAACCAACAAACAGCGUGGGUCUUGAAUGGCUUUUAUACGUCUUGGCCUCCUGGUCUACAAACUUGCUGUGUCAAUGCCAUGUAGCCUUUCACGCUAUUCCAUCAGCUUGGUCCAGAGUUUUAGCAUCUGGCACAACUGUUCUACAUCAGUGUUUUUCAGAGAUAAAAUGCUGCUCGUGAAAUGGAAAUAUUUAGAAUUGCUUCUACAUAAAUGUUAAAUGCUUUUAUAGAACCCAAGGAAAACCCUGUUGAUGUUCUGAUUAAAAUUAAGGUUCAUCCCUUUGGAAAUCGCUGACACUUGUGGUUAUUAGUCCCUCCGAUCCAAGGGCCUUUCGCACUUCCCCGUUAGUUCAAAUCUGGCUUUUAAAACCUGUAACAAAAUGUCAUGGAUUUCUCGAAGAACCUUCUCUAACUUUUGAUAUUUUAACAGCUGACUUUACAAUGUAAUAAAAUAAAAAUUCCCCCAAAGAACUGCGCCCGAGCAUCCGUGUUCCCUGACUGCUGGGUGUCAUUAUCAUCCUUACAUCUGUUACUAUCUUUACUUGACCUUAUUAAAUAAAGUCAUAGAAAAGACAAAUCUUUUCAAAACUGCACACUGGUGAAACU